GACGAACCGUGCGAACGUUGUUCGGAAUCACUGGGCAUAAAGGGCGCGUAGGCGGCUUUUCAAGUCAGGGGUGAAAUCCGGCAGCUCAACUGUCGAAGUGCCCUUGAUACUGAUGAGCUCGAGGGAGGUAGGGGUAUGUGGAACUUCCGGUGGAGCGGUGAAAUGCGUUGAUAUCGGAAGGAACGCCGGUGGCGAAAGCGACGUACUGGACCUCUUCUGACGCUGAGGCGCGAAAGCUAGGGGGAGCAACACGGG
rnacentral:rRNA from 1 species